CCUCCCGCCUUUUAGAGUUUCGGCGGGAGGAAAGCCUAGGUGGAAGCUUGCCGGUU
rnacentral:tRNA from 1 species